GUGUAGUGCAAUGGAUAGCACGUUGGACUUCUAAUCCAAAGGUCGUGGGUUCGAAUUCCACCUGAGAUG
rnacentral:tRNA from 1 species